AAGAGACGGGUGUGUGCAUAGACAGUAAGAAAGGGUGUGUGGCUGCAAUCAUGCAUCAUUCUUAUAUCUCAUAUAACAGAACUAUCACCCAACAAUAAGAAUUCACACUGAGAACAUGAGUGAUCCCUGCAGAAUGAAACAGCACGGGACUGAAGAACAAAGAGACCUGAUGGAAGUGAGCAAGAAAGGACAAAAGAAACCAAAAAAUCCAUCAACAGCUCUCUUCACACGAGAAUUCGUACUAGAGAGGAGCAGAAACACAAACAAGCCACAAGGCAGCAGUUGAGGAGGAUCCACGCUGAAGAUGAACUGUACACAUGUGAUCAGUGUGAGAAGAGUUUCACAUGCAAAGAAGACCUGAAGAAACACAUGAAAAUCCACAGUGGAGAGACGCUGCACACGUGUGAACAGUGUGGUAAGGGUUUCAAACUCAAAGGACAACUUGGGAUACACAUGAGGAUCCACACUGAAGAGAAGCCGUUCACAUGUGAUCACUGCGGGAAGAGUUUCUCACAAAAAGCACACCUUAAGGAGCACAUGAAAAUCCACACCGGAGAAAGGCCGUAGUCAUGUGAUCACUGUGGGAAGAGCUUCCUUCAAAAAGACAGCGUUCAGAGACACAUGACAAUCCACACUGGAGAGACGUCGUUCACAUGUGAUCGAUGUGGGAAGAGUUUUGACGUCAAAAGAAGCCUGUUAUCACACAUGAAAAUCCACAGUGGAAAGAAGUUACACGUUUGUGAUCAGUGUGGGGAGAGAUACAGAUGCAAAAAAAGAUCUUAGGCAACACAUGACAGUCCACACUGAAUACAGGCCGCACACAUGUGAUCAACGCGGGAAGGGUUUCACACGAAAAUAACACCUUCAAAGACACAUGCUUAUCCACACUUGAGAGAAGCCGCACACAUGUGAUCAGUGUGGGAUGGGUUUUGCAAAAAAAAACGUCCUUGCCGUACACAACUAUCCACACUGGAGAGAAGCCGCACGCAUACGAUCAGUGCGGGAAGAGUUUUGCACUGAAAAAUAGCCUUAAUGAACACAUGAAAACUCUUACUGGAGAGAAGCGGCACACAUGAGAGCAAUGCGGGAUGAAAUUCACACAGAGAUCGCACCUUAUGGUACACAAGAAAAUCCACACUGGCGAAAAGCUACACACGUGCAAUGAAUGUGGCAGGAGUUUCACACACACUUCCACGCUAAAAAAACACCUACAUACCCAUUCUGAACAAAAACCGUUUUACUGCGAUCAAUGCGGCAAAGGUUUUAAUCUGGAAUCAACCCUGAAGAGCCACCUGAAAGUUCAUGCUGAAGUCGUUGUCUUUUCUGUGACAAGAGUUUUAGUCUGCUGAGUGUUUUUAAGCUGCACCAGAGAAGGCACGGCUCUGUGAAGUCUUUUCUGUGCUUUGAGUGUGGGAGGUCCUUUUUUACAAAUACUGAGCACCAGACAAGUCACACUGGAGAGAAACCUAACAAGUGUUCGCACUGUCACAAGGGAUUCUCUUUGCUGGGAAACAUGAAAAAACAUGAGAGGAUCCAUACUAGAGAGAAGCUGCAGACUGCAAACUGCCCUCCAAGUGAGAAGAGUUUUAGUAAAUGAUGCAUUCAUACAAAACACAAACGUAUGAAAUCGUGACCAAAGUGAGCAAUAGAUGGAGAAGGGCUUGUGAAAAGCAGUGAAAAACAAGCUGAUGGAUGUGCAGACAGAAGAAACUUACAGAAGGAUAAACAUCACUGCAACACUCCACUGAUCUGGGCUUUAUGGCGGUGUGGCCAGCCUCAGUCCUCUCCUCAGUGAAGACACAUGAAAACACUUGGAAAUUGCAAAAAAGCACCUAAAGGACCCUCAGACUGUGAGAAACAAUAUUAUCUGGUCUGAUGAAUCAUUUCAAAUCAUUUAACUAACCAGCUAAUAUUCAUUGAGAAUAUAGACAACACAUGCAUUGAUGUAAUUGUCUAUGGGCAAUAUGUUUAAUCUGUUCUAUUUUUCUAUCUAUCAUGAUACACUAAUGAUUCAUUAUUACUUGAUACAAAAUUAUAUUUAAUAAUACAAAACAAAA